UACGGGGGGGGCAAGCGUUGUUCGGAAUUACUGGGCGUAAAGGGCUCGUAGGUGGCCAACUAGGUCGGACGUGAAAUCCCUCAGCUUAACUGGGGAACUGCGUCCGAUACUGCUGGACUUGAGUGCGGGAGAGGAUGGAGGAAUUCCUGGUGUAGCGGUGAAAUGCGUAGAUAUCAGGAGGAACACCUGUGGCGAAGGCGUCCAUCUGGCCCGUUACUGACGCUGAGGCGCGAAAGCUAGGGGAGCAAACGGG
rnacentral:rRNA from 1 species